AUUGAACGCUGGCGGCAGGCCUAACACAUGCAAGUCGAACGAGUGGCGGACGGGUGAGUACUGUCUGGGAAACUGCCUGAUGGAGGGGGAUAACUACUGGAAACGGUAGCUAAUACCGCAUACCCUCAGAUGUGCCCAGAUGGGAUUAGCUCGUAGGUGGGGUAACGGCUCACCUAGGCGACGAUCCCUAGCUGGUCUGAGAGGAUGACCAGCCACACUGGAACUGAGACACGGUCCAGACUCCUACGGGAGGCAGCAGUGGGGAAUAUUGCACAGUGGGCGCAAGCCUGAUGCAGCCAUGCCGCGUGUAUGAAGAAGGCCUGCGGGUUGUAAGGUACUUUCAGCGAGGAGGCGUUGCCCGCAGGAGAAGCACCGGCUAACUCCGUGCCAGCAGCGGCGGUAAUAC
rnacentral:rRNA from 1 species